CUUGGUCAUUUAGAGGNAGUNAAAGUCGUAACAAGGUUUCCGUAGGUGAACCUGCGGAAGGAUCAUUAUCGAAAUUAUUGGUGAGGGUUGUAGCUGGCCUUUCGAGGCAUGUGCACGCUCGAGCCCUUAAUCCACUUUACACCUGUGCACUUAAUGUAGGUCGCCCUUAAAAAAGGUGACCUAUGUCUUAUCAUCAACCCAUCGUAUGUCUCAUAGAAUGUAAUCGAUAUCCUCGCCCUAAAAAAGCGUUGAUAAACUUAUACAACUUUCAACAACGGAUCUCUUGGCUCUCGCAUCGAUGAAGAACGCAGCGAAAUGCGAUAAGUAAUGUGAACUGCAGAUUUUCAGUGAAUCAUCGAAUCUUUGAACGCACCUUGCGCUCCUUGGUAUUCCGAGGAGCAUGCCUGUUUGAGUGUCAUUAAAUUCUCAACUCCAAGGGUUUCACGACCUUUCGGAGAUUGGACUUGGAGGUGCUGGCCGCAUAUUGGUCGGCUCCUCUCAAAUGCAUCAGCGGAAUUCAACCUUUGGCUUCCGGAUGUCAGUGUGAUAAUCAUGUUGCGCUGUCGUUUGAUCCCUCAGAGUCCGCUUAUAAUGGUCUUCGGACAAAAUCAUCAUCAAAUUUGACCUCAAAUCAGGUAGGACUACCCGCUGAACUUAAGCAUAUCAAUAAGCGGAGA
rnacentral:rRNA from 1 species